GAUGAACGCUGGCGGCGUGCCUAAUACAUGCAAGUCGAGCGAACAGACGAGGAGCUUGCUCCUCUGACGUUAGCGGCGGACGGGUGAGUAACACGUGGAUAACCUACCUAUAAGACUGGGAUAACUUCGGGAAACCGGAGCUAAUACCGGAUAAUAUAUUGAACCGCAUGGUUCAAUAGUGAAAGACGGUUUUGCUGUCACUUAUAGAUGGAUCCGCGCCGCAUUAGCCAGUUGGUAAGGUAACGGCUUACCAAGGCAACGAUGCGUAGCCGACCUGAGAGGGUGAUCGGCCCCACUGGAACUGAGACACGGUCCAGACUCCUACGGGAGGCAGCAGUAGGGAAUCUUCCGCAAUGGGCGAAAGCCUGACGGAGCAACGCCGCGUGAGUGAUGAAGGUCUUCGGAUCGUAAAACUCUGUUAUUAGGGAAGAACAAAUGUGUAAGUAACUAUGCACGUCUUGACGGUACCUAAUCAGAAAGCCACGGCUAACUACGU
rnacentral:rRNA from 1 species